UACGGGGGAGCAAGCGUUGUUCGGAUUUACUGGGCGUAAAGGGCGCGUAGGCGGCACCGCAAGUCGACUGUGAAAUCUCCGGGCUUAACUCGGAAAGGUCAGCCGAUACUGCGGGCUAGAGUGCAGAAGGGGCAACUGGAAUUCUCGGUGUAGCGGUGAAUGCGUAGAUAUCGAGAGGAACACCUGCGGCGAAGGCGGGAUUGCUGGGCUGACACUGACGCUGAGGCGCGAAAGCUAGGGGAGCAAACGGG
rnacentral:rRNA from 1 species